GGCGCGUGCGCAGAACAUGUAUGAGUUGCAGUUCACACUCCAAUCCAGUAGGGGGCGGGAAAGUACCAUCUAGGUUGGCUGCCAAUCGCCAAUAAACACCAAAGAAGAAAAAAAGCAAAGUCGUGGCCCGUGGAAAAAAGAUGUUUACUGAUCGGCGUAGAAUCAGACUGAAAUACUUCAGUGGAACACGUGGGUGGGGGUGAACAGAUGAAGAAGAGGAAUGAAGGUGGAUUCAUAGUUCAUCACGAUGACCAGAGACUUCCUCAUGUUUCAUAGGAAAUCUGAGAUUAAAGAUCUCUAAAGCCUGCAUUAAAUCAGAUAUAUAAUUUACGGAUAAUCUCAUGAUUUUGGAUCCUGGGGCCCUGAUGCCUUCAGAUUAUUGGAGAUCAAGAUCCAUUAAUGAGGUGCUGGAUUUGUGAGAAGACACAAGACUGAAGCUGUAAAUUCAUUUUGCCGUAUACUUUGCUGUAGGUAGAGUGUAGUCUACUGUGUGUAGUUUGAUGGACAUUUCUGGUCUAUAUAUAUUGUACUGCUCAUGUCAAUGUUUUAGAACACUACUCUGUAUUAAAGCUGCAGGAAAUAUUAAACCAUUGUUGAGAGUAAUGAUGACACUGGGAUGAUCCUCUUAAUGGGAAAACUGUCUUUUUAUGAUAGUUUUAAAAAGAAACACUGAUUAGAUAAAAACUUUUAUUCCAGAAUUAUGUAACAAAUCACUUGUUUUAAAUAUAUUAAUAAACAUUAACAUUAAGCAUGUUGGUGGCCAUGAGUUAGCAGAAGCUGUGGUGAUGCGUGCUGUGACAGAACCCUAGGCAAAGGUCAUUAAAAAUGUAGUAUAAAUGUUAUUGUACAUUUCUGUUUAAAUAUGCAGAGUAACAACAUUUAUAUUUAAAAUAUGACUAUACUGUUAAGCAUUAAAUUACAUCAAUGUACUGAAAAAUCAUUUGCUUUAGUAAUAAAUGCUAUAUUAAUUAUU